rnacentral:rRNA from 1 species
AGUGGCGAACGGGUGAGUAACGCGUAAGUAACCUGCCCCCAAGUAGGGGAUAACUCUGAGAAAUCGGAGCUAAUACCGUAUGUGAUAGUGGGGAUGAUGCUCCAUUAUUAAAGCCUUCGGGUGCUUGGGGAGGGGCUUGUGUCCGAUUAGCUAGUUGGUAGGGUAAUGGCUUACCAAGGCGAUGAUCGGUAGCUGGUCUGAGAGGACGAUCAGCCACACUGGGACUGAGACACGGCCCAGACUCCUACGGGAGGCAGCAGCAAGGAAUUUUGGGCAAUGGGCGAAAGCCUGACCCAGCGACGCCGCGUGGGGGAUGAAGGCCUUCGGGUUGUAAACCCCUUUUCUCAGGGAAGAAUAAUGACGGUACCUGAGGAAGAAGUCUCGGCUAACUACGUGCCAGCAGCCGCGGUAAGACGUAGGAGGCAAGCGUUAUCCGGAUUUACUGGGCGUAAAGAGGGCGUAGGCGGCUUUUCAAGUCGGAUGUAAAAUCUCCCGGCUCAACUGGGAGGGACCAUUCGAUACUGUUGGGCUAGAGUGCAGCAGAGGGAGGUGGAAUUCCCGGUGUAGUGGUGAAAUGCGUAGAUAUCGGGAGGAACACCAGUGGCGAAGGCGACCUCCUGGGCUGUUACUGACGCUGAGGCCCGAAAGCGUGGGGAGCGAACAGGAUUAGAUACCCUGGUAGUCCACGCAGUAAACGAUGGACACUAGGUAUAGGGAGUAUCGACCCUCUCUGUGCCGAAGCUAACGCA